UACGGAGGGGACUAGCGUUGUUCGGAAUUACUGGGCUUAAAGAGUUCGUAGGCGGCAUGAAAAGUAGGGUGUGAAAGCCCUCGGCUCAACCGAGGAAUUGCGCUCUAAACUGUCGUGCUCGAGGAAUCUAGAGGUGAGCGGAACUGAUGGUGGGGCGGUGAAAUGCGUUGAUAUCAUCAGGAACACCGGAGGCGAAGGCGGCUCACUGGGGAUUUUCUGACGCUGAGGAACGAAAGCCAGGGGAGCGAACGGG
rnacentral:rRNA from 1 species